UGGCGGCGUGCUAACACAUGCAAGUCGAACGAGAAAGUGGAGCAAUCCAUGAGUAAAGUGGCGACCGGGUGAGUAACACGUGACUAACCUACCCUGAAGUGGGGAAUAACUCCGGGAAACCGGGGCUAAUACCGCAUAACAUCGCGAGCUGUAAACGCUUGUGACCAAAGGAGCAAUUCGCUUUAGGAGGGGGUCGCGGCUGAUUAGCUAGUUGGUGAGGUAACGGCCCACCAAGGCAAAGAUCAGUAUCCGGCCUGAGAGGGCGCACGGACACACUGGAACUGAAACACGGUCCAGACUCCUACGGGAGGCAGCAGUGGGGAAUUUUGCGCAAUGGGGGAAACCCUGACGCAGCAACGCCGCGUGGAGGAUGAAGUCCCUUGGGAUGUAAACUCCUUUCGAUCGGGACGAUUAUGACGGUACCGGAAGAAGAAGCACCGGCUAACUCUGUGCCAGCAGCCGCGGUUAUACAGAGGGUGCAAGCGUUGUUCGGAAUUAUUGGGCGUAAAGGGCGCGUANGCGGUGCUGU
rnacentral:rRNA from 1 species